GGCUUGAGGACCGUAUUCAUGGAAGAGGAUCGAACAGAGAUGAAGUAGACAGUAUGUUGGAUAAAUCUGAAGACAUGAAAUAGGCAGUAUGUUGGAUAAAUCUGGAGGUCUCUGCUAAGAAAAACUGAGAACUUCACUAUGACAUUUAUAAGACGCUUCACAUAAAGAGAAAAUGGAUGGAAACUUAUGUCAAAGAAUCUUUCAAAGGCAGGAACCAGAAAUUAGAAAGAUUUUGCAAAAUGAACGAACGAGAGAGGAAGAACAUCAACAACAAAUUUUGUGAGCAGUAUAUAACUACAUUUCAGAAGUCUUAUAUGGAUGUACAGAAAUUCAAUGAGGAAAAAGAAAAAUCAGUGAAUAGUUGUCAAAAAGAACAACAAGCAUUGAAACUGUCCAAAUGUAGUCAGAACCAGACCCUGGAAGCAGGUAAAGAAAUGCAUGAGAAGUCCAUGGAGCUGCAUCAUUGGACUCAAACUGAAUGGUCCAUGUGUUGCCACUGAUGUGAGCCAUUUGCAAGCC
rnacentral:precursor_RNA from 1 species